rnacentral:rRNA from 1 species
CACGUAGGCGGAUAUUUAAGUCAGGGGCGAAAUCCCAGAGCUCAACUCUGGAACUGCCUUUGAUACUGGGUAUCUUGAGUAUGGAAGAGGUAAGUGGAAUUCCGAGUGUAGAGGUGAAAUUCGUAGAUAUUAGGAGGAACACCGGAGGCGAAGGCGGCUUACUGGACGACAACUGACGUUGAGGCUCGAAGGCGUGGGGAGCAAACA